ensembl:lncRNA
AUGAAGGUAAAAAUAGCAAGUGUAGCUGACUGUAAAUGUGUAUUCUCUAAAGAGAAGGUGGUUUUCAGUGCUUGUUCAGGAGACAAACUUUAUUUGGCUGACAUGGAGCUGCAUCGAUAUAUACUUGCAGAAAAAUCUACAUGUGUGAUUAAGGAUAAAGAGGCUAUUAUUGUUCUUGUGAAAGAGAAAAAAGGAGCAUGGUGCAAAUUACUGAAGAACAAGGUGAAGUGGAAAUUAAUUUGAGAGUUACUGAAUUCACUGUGUGUCAGUGCAGGUAUUUCAAAUAAUGUUUUUGUCAACAGAAUCCUCACGUCUCUCUUGAUUUUGAACACUGGGAAGAUUUUGAAGAUAAAAGCCCUUUUCCAGUUGGUAAGGAAUGAAUGAAUCAGUAUUUAUAAUGCAUAAAAUGAUUAGCAUCCUUAUUUUUGCAUAGGCUAUAUUUGAAACAAUUGUUUAUUUCAGAUAUGUGUCACUUGGCUAGCUUGCUCAAAUUCUCUGAAAACACAUGAGAGGACCCCCAAUAGUGAACUGGAGGCAGUAGGGUAUUUUUCUAUCACAAUAGCACAGACAAAAAGCAGCUUGAAGUAGUUUUUAAGUGUUUUGGUCUGGUUUGUAGUCUAAAGUGUGGGAUGUUAUCUUGGUUUAGAUUUUCUUAAUACUACUACAUAUUUGUUCUGAAGCUCUUGUUUUUUCUUGCUUUAUAAAUGUUACUUUGCUAAUUACUUCUAGGUACUAAAAAACUGUAUUGUCCUGCUGCAGUAGUGGAAGAAUUAGUUGAGUCCUCAGAAGACAGUGAAACAGAAAGUGAUGAGUAAUUUGUAGACAGAUCUUUUUCCUCUGAUAAGGAUUAUGCUUCAAAAUAGUGUGUCUUGCAUGAGUUUUUUCCACUAAAAUUGAUGAAACUAAACAUGUAGGUUGCAGAACUGUCCUUAAUUUUAGGAGGAAAAUGGCGAACCAGCUCCUUAGCUUUGGGCUCUGACAAUCUAAAGAAACCCUCCAUAGAAGAACAUUGUGUAUGUUUUCCAGUGCCUUCACUUUAAAAUUGUUGGCUUUAAUGAUGAUGUGCAUAUAUGUAUGUGUGCUUUCCAAACACAUCUAAAGAUUUAAACUUGGGUUAUGAAGCAGUUGAAUUCAUUAGUGAUUACAGAGCUUCUAGUUUACUUUAUCUGAGGGAAUUUGCUGUGUUAGCGAUAGUUAGUAAUUUUUGAAGUUUCACAAAUCCUAAUGAUCUGUGGGUUGUUUCUACGAUAACCUUUGCAUUCACACAGGAUCAGGUUGUUGGCAAUCAUGACACUUAUCAGUUCUGCAUCAAGAAAUAACGCCUCAACUCCAGUGGCAAUUUUUUUCACUAGAUUGGGAACAUGUUGACUUGGUAUGAAAUACUGUACAGUGCAGCUCACUGUAGUAACUAACUGCUGUACAGCUUUUGUGGAACGAGCACUGUGAUAGUAGAUUCGGUAUUUGUUUUCAGUUUGACAUUUCCACUUUUCAUGAAUGCUCUUAUUUCAUUACUUCUCAUUUCAUGUAUCUAAAACUUUUCUUGUUUGCAAAUGAACAAUAAAAUUUUGUCUGUUUAGCGCUAAGGCUUUGCCUUUUAAUAUACCGUCUU